rnacentral:rRNA from 1 species
GCGGUCAGCGACUGCGGAUGACAUUACGAAAUUCGGCGCGCUUCGGCGCUGCCUUAUUCACCCACCCUUUGUCUACGUGUACCUCUAAUAGCUUCCUCGGCGGGCUCGCCCGCCGCCAGGAACCCACGAAACCCCUUGCAUUAUACACGAAAACUUCUGAUAACAAACCUAAAUUAUCACAACUUUCAACAAUGGAUCUCUUGGUUCUGGCAUCGAUGAAGAACGCAGCGAAAUGCGAUAAGUAGUGUGAAUUGCAGAAUUCAGUGAAUCAUCGAAUCUUUGAACGCACAUUGCGGCCAUAGGUAUUCCUUUGGCCAUGCCUGUUCGAGCGUCAUUUACACCCUCAAGCCUAGCUUGGUGUUGGGCGUCUGUCCCGCCGUUUUCGCGCGCGGACUCGCCUCAAAGUCAUUGGCGGCGGUCGUGCCGGCUCCUCGCGCAGCACAUUUGCGCUUCUCGGAGGCCCGGCGGAUCCGCGCUCCAGCAAAGACCUUUCAUGACUUGACCUCGGAUCAGGUAGGGAUACCCGCUGAACUUAAGCAUAUCAAAAACGAAGAGGAA